GUCUGGUUAAUUCCGAUAACGAACGAGACUCUGGCUUGCUAAAUAGUCGCGCCGGCCGCCGCGCCGGGCGCUGACUUCUUAGAGGGACAAGUGGCGUUCAGCCACGCGAGAUUGAGCAAUAACAGGUCUGUGAUGCCCUUAGAUGUCCGGGGCCGCACGCGCGCUACACUGAAGGGGUCAGCGGGUCCCGUCCCUUGGCCGGAAGGUCUGGGCAAUCCGUUGAACCCCCUUCGUGCUUGGGAUAGGGAGUUGCAAUUGUCUCCCUUGAACGAGGAAUUCCCAGUAAGCGCGAGUCAUCAGCUCGCGUUGAUUACGUCCCUGCCCUUUGUA
rnacentral:rRNA from 1 species